CAAGCUGGACGUCAUGAGACUGCUUCUUUUCAGAUGCCAGCCUCAAUUUACUAAAGAUGCAUAGACAAUAUAUCAAGUUAUACCCUGCGUGGUUUAGUUCUCUUUUAAAGAAGAGAAUCAAGUGCGGUGCACCAGCUAGAAGUCGGAGAUCAAGUUACAAAAAUAAUAAAAUUAAGUUUUUAAUCAAAUGGAGAUCCUGGCCAUCAGUGCUUCGCUUAUUUGUAUCCAGUAUGCCAACAUCAGUACAUGCCUGUUGAUUGUACAAUGAAUAUGGAGAAUGAAAGUGUAUUUAUUACUUCAUUUAAGUAAGGGGAAUUUGAUGCUAAGAAAUUGUAAUCGAAUAUCUCUUUAUUGAUUUGAUCAGACCAUCCAUCUGAUAUUCCUUGACUUAGUCAUUUGCAUCUACAUGCAGUUGAAUUCAGAUAGUUAAUGUUCAUAUGUCGACAUGUACAAACACUUAAUUAUGCGGCAGUAAAUAUUUAUUGAUCUUUUUUC